rnacentral:misc_RNA from 1 species
GUAGGUGAACCUGCGGAAGGAUCAUUAUUGAAUUCGGCCUUUUGGCCUUAUACACAUAAUAUACACUGUGAACCGUGGCUUCGGCCCAAACUUGAAGUCUUGAAUGUAAUAUAUCAUAACAAAAUACAACUUUUAACAACGGAUCUCUUGGCUCUC